rnacentral:rRNA from 1 species
UACGUAGGGUGCGAGCGUUAAUCGGAAUUACUGGGCGUAAAGCGUGCGUAGGCGGUUCGUUAAGUUCGUUGUGAAAGCCCCGGGCUCAACCUGGGAACUGCAAUGGAAACUGGCGGGCUUGAGUGUGGCAGAGGGGGGUGGAAUUCCGCGUGUAGCAGUGAAAUGCGUAGAGAUGCGGAGGAACACCGAUGGCGAAGGCAGCCCCCUGGGCUAAGACUGACGCUCAGGCACGAAAGCGUGGGGAGCAAACAGG